UACGGAGGAUGCGAGCGUUAUCCGGAUUUAUUGGGUUUAAAGGGUGCGUAGGCGGUCUGUUAAGUCAGCGGUAAAAUUGCGGGGCUCAACCCCGUCGAGCCGUUGAAACUGGCGGACUUGAGUUGGCGAGAAGUACGCGGAAUGCGCGGUGUAGCGGUGAAAUGCAUAGAUAUCGCGCAGAACUCCGAUUGCGAAGGCAGCGUACCGGCGCCACACUGACGCUGAGGCACGAAAGCGUGGGGAUCGAACAGG
rnacentral:rRNA from 1 species